GCGGAUGUGGCGGAAUUGGUAGACGCGCUAGACUUAGGAUCUAGUACCGAAUAAGGUGUGGGGGUUCGAGUCCCUUCAUCCGUA
rnacentral:tRNA from 1 species